rnacentral:lncRNA from 1 species
GGGGAAGUGGGAGAGAGGAGAGAAGACACCUUAGUUUCCUUUGAGAGAGUGGGGAAGAGGGGAAGUGGGAGAGGUGUACUUUAACUAUUUGCACAUCAUUACAACACUGUAUAUAGACAUAAUAAGACAUUUGACAUUGUAUUUAUUCAUUUGGUACUUUUGUGAGUGUAAUGUUUAAUGUUCAUUUUAUUUGUAUUGUUUAUUUCACUUUUGUUUAUCUAUUUCACUUGCUUUGGCAAUGAAAAACAUAUGUUUCCAGUGUCAAUAAAAACCCUUAAAUUGAAUUGAGAGAGCUGGGGAGAGGUGAGAGAGGGAGGGAGAGGUGAGAGAGGGGGGAGAGGUGAGAGAGGGGGGAGAGGUGAGAGAGGGGGGAGAGGUGAGAGAGGGAGGGAGAGGUGAGAGAGUGGGGAGAGGUGAGAGAGGGGGGAGAGGUGAGAGAGGGGGGAGAGGUGAGAGAGGGGGGAGAGGUGAGAGAGGGAGAGAGAGGUGAGAGGGGGUGGAAUAGGAGAGAUGUAGAGCUCUCAAAAACACUAACAAACAAGAGGAAGUCCAAAAGAAAUACCCUCUUGCACACACACACACACACACGCACGCACGCACACACACACACACACACACACACACGCACACACACACACACACACACACACACACACACACACACACACACACACACACACACACACACACACACACACACACGCACACACGCACACACGCACACACACACGCACACACACAUACCAACAACACCAUCAGAGUUUCAGAGGCUACUCAGUUACACACACUGACACACACACAACCAUUGUGCAGCACAAGUCCAAAUGCCGGGAAACGACGGUCAGAAAUGGACUAUUGUGCAGCACAGGGCUGAGCGGUGGUCAAAGAGGGUUAAUUGUUUCCUCACAUAAUGUGCAAGUCUGUUUCCUCAGAAUCCAAUGUGGUCCGGCAGGCUGACACACCAUGGCCAUGCUUCCAGGCCAUUCAGCAACAGCAGAACGUGACUGACAAUUACUGAAGAAGGGUAAAGUGAGGGGUUGAGAAAAACAGAUGGAGAAAGAGUCAGAGAUAGAAAGAUAGCCUGAAGCGAGAGGAUGAGGGGAGAGGGGAGAGGGGAGGGGUCAGUGACAGAGUGCUAAAACAGAUGGCUGUGUAUAACAGGCAGCUAGACAGGCAGUGGCCUUCACUGAGCCGCCAGACACUGUCCAGUCACACCGGUGUAUAUAAACCCGGCCCACGAGGUAUGGCCUGUCAACCUAUUGCUCACACUCACUGUGACUCAGAGGACUUGAAUGAAGUUGCCCAUAAACACUGAUCUGAGGACAGUGUUGAGUUUUUAACCCUAAUGAUUAAGGUGAAAUGUGUUGGUAGGGUAAGCUGAUCCUAGAUCUGCUAUAGGAAACGUCUACCAAGAGAGACUGCACAGACACACAGCUGAACCCUUUCCGCCAGUCCUACCUAAUAGGGUCUUUCAUUUACCAAUUAAGAUCACAUUAGUAUAGCUACAUAUAGGGAAUUCAGUGUGGUUAGUCCAGCUGUUCAUAUAGUUAUACUAAUGUGAAAACAUUGUGAUAGCUGACUUGAUUGCCUCUCGGGGCUAGUUUCCAGGCCUAGUCCAGGACUAACAGGUCAGUUUCCAUUAAACUGGCCCUUGGUCUUUACAAUAAACCAUUGUAAACAAACCAUGUAUAUCUUGAACAUAUGGUUAACACUAUAAGUCAUUCUUAUGGACUCUUAGUCUUGGAAUUCAUAGUCCAUCUGAAUAUGAGAGUGGUUCCAUUUCUCCCAGCCUCAUCCCUGUUUACCAAACCAAGUGGCAGGGUCAGGCUGGUCAAAUUACAGGUUGUACCUUUAACACUUCUGGGGGUGUUGCGUUAAUAUUUCAUGUUUAUGAACGUGCCCUGAUUUGUUAUGGGACUGCCAGGCACCCCUGUAGUAUAAACCUUGACUGCAUGGUGGUCCUUAUCUCACCCCUGCACUCUGGUUAAUUAUGUAAUACUACACUAAUACUACACUAACACUACACUAAUACUAAACGAACACUACACUAACACUACACUAAUACUACACUAAUACUACACUAACACUACACUAAUACUACACUAACACUAAACUAACACUACACUAACACUACACUAAUACUACACUAACACUACACCAAUACUACACUAACACUACACUAACACUACACUAACACCACACUAAUACUACACUAAUACUACACUAACACUACACUAACACUACACUAAUACUACACCAAUACUACACUAACACUGCACUAAUACUACACUAAUACUACACUAACACUACACUAAUACUACACGAACACUACACUAACACUACACUAAUACUACACUAAUACUACACUAACACUACACUAAUACUACACUAACACUAAACUAACACUACACUAACACUACACUAAUACUACACUAAUACUACACUAACACUACACUAACACUACACUAAUACUACACGAACACUACACUAACACUACACUAAUACUACACUAACACUACACUAAUACUACACUAACACUAACACUACACUAAUACUACACUAACACUACACCAAUACUACACUAACACUACACUAAUACAACACUAACACUACACUAAUACUACAAUAAUACUACACUAAUACUACACUAACACUACACUAACACUACACUAACACUACACUACACUAAUCCUACACGAAUACUACACUAAUACUACACUAAUACUACACUAAUACUACACUAACACUAAACUAACACUACACUAACACUACACUAAUACUACACUAACACUACACCAAUACUACACUAAUACUACACUAACACUACACUAACACUACACUAAUACUACACCAAUACUACACUAGCACUGCACUAAUACUACACUAAUACUACACUAACACUACACUAACACCACACUAAUACUACACUAACCAUACACUAACACUACACUAACACUACACUAAUACUACACUAACACUACACUAAUACUACACUAACACUACACAAAUACUACAGUAACACUACACUAAUACUACACUAACACUACACUAAUACUACACUAACACUACACUAAUACUACACUAACACCACACUAAUACUACACUAACCAUACACUAACACUACACUAAUACUACACUAACACUACACUAAUACUACACUAACACUACAAUAAUAAUACACUAACACUACACUAACACUACACUAAUACUACACUAAUACUACACUAACACUACACCAAUACUACACUAACACUACACUAAUACUACACUAACACUACACUAAUACUACAAUAAUACUACACUAAUACUACACUAACACUACACUACACUAAUCCUACACGAAUACUACACUAAUACUACAAUAACACUACACUAACACUACACUAACACUACACUAACACCACACUAACACUGCACUAAUACUACACUAAUACUACACUAACACAACACUACACUAACACUACACUAAUACUACACUAAUACUACACCAACACUACACUGAUACUACACUAAUACUACACUAACACUACACUAAUACUACACUAACACCACACUAACAUUACACUAAUACUACACUAACACUACACAAAUACUACACUAACACUACACUAAUACUACACUAACACUACACUAAUACUACACUAACACCACACUAAUACUACACUAACACCACACUAACAUUACACUAAUACUACACUAACACUACACCAAUACUACACUAACACUACACUAAUACUACACUAACACUACACUAAUACUACGCUAACACUACACUAACACUAACACUACACUAACACUACACUGAUACUACACUAAUACUACACUAACACCACACUAACAUUAUACUAAUACUACACUAACACUACACCAACACUACACUGAUACUACACUAACACUACACUAAUACUACACUAAUACUACACUAACACUACACUAAUACUACACGAAUACUACACGAACACUACACUAAGACUACACUAACACUACACUAACACUACACAAACACUACACUAAUACUACACUAACACUACACUAAUACUACACGAACACUACACUAACACUACACUAAGACUACACUAACACUACACUAAUACUACACAAACACUACACUAACACUACACUAAGACUACACUAAGACUACACUAACGCUACACUAACACUACACUAAUACUACACUAACACUACACUAAUACUACACUACUGUAAUAGGAUAGUGAGGCUAAGGGCUAAACCUCUGUGUGCAAGGGGUCUUCUGAGGUCACUAAGAACAUUUACUUUUAAACUCAAUUGUUCCACGUCAAUUGUGAUACAGUUGUUUAAAUCAAUGUUUAUGUAGCUGAGAGAAGUUCCUAGAAGUACCAUACUGGCUGGGUAUACUACUUUUUUACCAUGAAUUUACAUUCCAUAGUACUUCAUCUCCCAUGAUUCUGCAUGUAGACUGAGAGAAUCUGAUAGGACUGACUGGGAUGCAAGAGAUAACAGCAGCAUUAGUUCCAUUUUUGGGGUUUUGUCACUGGUUAUUUGGACAUAUCAGGAUUGGGUGAAGGCGGUACUUAAACUGCUUCGUCUUGAGUGCUUCGUGCCUGUGCCCACAUGGGGGGGGGGGGGACUUCGUUUCUGCCAGAACUCUCAAUUUGUAUGAACACAGAAGUUAACCAUGCAGCUGACUUCUGGGUUAACAGAGAUUAUAGGCUACUCUGACAAGAGUUUCACUGCAUCGCAUGCGCACGCGCGUGUGUGUGUCUGUAUGCGUUUGCACCAACGUGUGUAUAUGUGUGUGUAUGUGUUUGCACCAGCGUGUGUAUAUGUGUGUGUGUGUGUGUGUGUGUGUGUGUGUGUGUG